AGACACUGCAGGGCAGGAGCCGCGGGAAAAAGGAGGUGGCAAUGGUUAUCCGGUGUUAGUGGGCGUAAAGCGAACGCCGGCGGUCGCGUAAGUCGGACGUGAAAGCUCCUGGCUCAACUGGGAGAGGUCGUUCGGAACUGCGCGGCUUGAGGUUGGAAGAGGAGAGCGGAAUUCCCGGUGUAGUGGUGGAAUGCGUAGAUAUCGGGAGGAACACCAGUGGCGAAAGCGGCUCUCUGGUCCACACCUGACGCUCAGGUGCGAAAGCGUGGGUAGCGAACGGGAUUAGAUACCCGUGUAGUC
rnacentral:rRNA from 1 species